rnacentral:lncRNA from 1 species
CUGAUUACAUCCUCCAAGUCCAAACGUGACACAAUUCUUCCGUGGGUUACAAGAGUCACAGCAGCAACUCCAGGUGGAUCCACAUUUUCCAGCGCUAUUUGGCACGCAGCAACAAAACUUCCGGCCAUACCGACCUUGGCAAUGCCUAUCAAAGUUUUUACAUCUUCCCAAUGUGGGUUGUGGCUGUGGUGAAGGUGGUGGUGGAGACGGAGGUGGUGGCGGUGAUGGUGUUGAUGGUGGUGGAGGAGAUGGACGUGGUGGUGGUGAUGGUGGCGGAGGAGAUGGAGGUGGUGGGGAUGGUGGUGGUGGUGGUGGCCGAGGAGAUGGAGGUGGUGGGGAUGGUAAUGGUGAUGGGGGUGGAAGAGCAGGAGAUGCUUCACAAUAGCCCAAGGGAUUGCACCCUUGAGUUGAUGAUAUGCAACAUGUGUCCUUAUUACAUGCACGGUCCACACAACAACAACUACUACCAGCUGGGCACCAUUGAUAGCCUUUGCAGGGUCUUGGGGGUGGUGGUGGCGGAAGAGAUGGAGGUGGUGGGGAUGGCAGUGGUGGUGGAAGAGAUGGAGGUGGUGGGGAUGGUGGUGGUGGAGAGGGUGGUGGUGGUGGUGGUGGAGAAGGAGGUGGUGAUGGUGUUGGACAGUCACAAGGAUCUUGGAAAUAGACGCCAAUUCCUCGGAAGUAUGUUGUUGAAGAGGCAUAACCAAAAAAUCCAACCACUGUCCCUUCUGGGGAAUCAAAUUUAGUCUGAUUGGAGUAGUCGUGGGUACCAAAUGGGCCAAAGGUAGUUUGGGCAUUGGUCCUUCUAUCGUUGACGUGCAAGUAAAGCCUACUCAAGCCAUUAGAAGUCCAUGGAUUUGGUCCAGUGCGCCCUGAAAUCUUGUAGAUGUAUUCAUCCGGAUAAGCUAAAACCACCUGAAAGAAAUCUUAGUAGAAGAUGAGCAUUACAAAUAGCUACCUCUUUGGCUUCCCCCCUUGAAGUGCCAUGAGGAUCAGACCAAACAUGUUCUCCCCCUUGAUCUGAUUGAACCUGUAUCCCAUCCACAAUAUACUCAGACCAGAUCUUGACUCUCACAAUACCCUGAGACUGCCCGUCACUGAAACUUUUCCCAUCGGUUCCACCAUACAAUGGGGAUCUUUUUCCGUUUGCACCAAAAACCUUCAUCAUAAUGAAACAAUUCAA